rnacentral:rRNA from 1 species
CACAGGUGCUGCAUGGCUGUCGUCAGCUCGUGUCGUGAGAUGUCGGUUAAGUCCGCUAACGAGCGCAACCCUCGCUGUGUGUUAUAUGUGUCACACGGGACUGCCGGUCUUAAGCCGGAGGAAGGUGGGGAUGAUGUCAAGUCAGCAUGGCCUUUAUGUCCAGGGCUACACACACGCUACAAUGGUCAGCACAAUAGGUAGCCAAGCCGCGAGGUGGAGCCAAUCCUCAAAGCUGGCCUCAGUUCAGAUCGCAGGCUGCAACCCGCCUGCGUGAAGCCGGAGUUGCUAGUAACCGCAGGUCAGCUAUACUGCGGUGAAUACGUUCCCGGGGCUU